GAUAGGUCUCUAUUUCGAGAAAAGGCUGCAUAGUUAUUUUCUUCCCUCACCACUGAAUAGACAUUUAACCUAGUGGAAUAGGGAGAUUUUUUUUCCCAUUUUCAAUUCUUGUCCUCACCUUUACCGAGAGGAUAAAAACAUUGUAAUUAGAACCAUCAUUAUUCUCCCUCGGUAUCACUGAUAACUUCAUUUCCUUUCCAUAUCUCUACUAAGGAUACUGGUACUCUUUUUUUAAAUGCUUCCCUCUUCUUCUUUUUUUCCUUUGGUUGUAGAAGAAACCUACGUCAGUCUAUUGAAACCAUCAUCCCUUGCUCUUUCUUCUUUUUCUUUUCUCAGUUGAUAUUACCUUAAAGCCAUCAGUUCCUCCUAGAUUUGAAACAAAGGUGACAAAAAAAAAGCAUCGUUUGUUCGUUGAUCGUUGCAGAGGUGUUACUGCUUUGAUCAUUGUAUUGUUGUAUCAUGGGAGACAUUCGACCAACGUUUCUCCAAGUACGGUAGGAGCGGCUGAAUCUGUCUUAAAGAGACUAUGUUAAACAGGCCUCAACGUUUAAUGAAUCUCUAUUCUUAUUUUCGAUUUCAACUUUUGUCAUGAUUUUUAUUUAUUUAUGUAUUUGACAACUUAAAUAUAAAUUAUUCUAUUUAUGUUUUGCAUUAUAUAUAAAAAAACUUAUUUAUAUUUGA